UGUGCCAGCAGCUGCGGUUAUACUUUUAAAUAAAAUUACACUUUACCGUGCCUAAAAAUAGAUUUUGUUUCUGUUAAAAGGACGUAGAAAUCUAUUAUUCAAAAUUUGAAACUAAUUGACAAAACCGGGAUAGAAUCCGGGUAUGCGCCGUCACUAGGUAAUUAAAUAAACCUAAAUUAUAUGGCAGUGAUUUAUUCUAAUUAGAGAAUUUUGGCCCCUAACUUGACAGUCCUCAAUGUUAUUUACUACUUUUUAGUUUAAGUGUGGUUGUCAAGAAAUAAAUUUCAAUUUAAAUUUUAACCAAAUGACAUCUAGCUUAAAAUAGGGAGGCUGGAAUGCUGUAACUUCAAUUAAUGAAUAAUAGGAUUUAAAAGUAGGUUUAAUUAAUAUCGAAACAGUUAUAAAUCAGGUACAUAUUGUCCGUCACUCUCUUUUAGAGAUAAGUCGUAACAAAGUAGGA
rnacentral:rRNA from 1 species